rnacentral:rRNA from 1 species
UACGGAGGAUGCGAGCGUUAUCCGGAUUUAUUGGGUUUAAAGGGUGCGCAGGCGGCGAGUUAAGUCAGCGGUAAAAUUUCGGGGCCCAACCCCGCCGAGCCGUCGGAACUGGGGGCCUUGAGUGCGGCGGAGGCAUGCGGAAUGCGCGGUGUAGCGGUGAAAUGCAUAGAUAUCGCGCAGAACCCCGAUUGCGAAGGCAGCUUACCGGCGCUCAACUGACGCUGAGGCACGAAAGUGCGGGUAUCGAACAGG